CCGAAUGGGGAAACCCAGUGUGAUUCGUCACACUAUCAUUAACUGAAUCCAUAGGUUAAUGAGGCGAACCGGGGGAACUGAAACAUCUAAGUACCCCGAGGAAAAGAAAUCAACCGAGAUUCCCCCAGUAGCGGCGAGCGAACGGGGAGGAGCCCAGAGCCUGAAUCAGCAUGUGUGUUAGUGGAAGCGUCUGGAAAGGCGCGCGAUACAGGGUGACAGCCCCGUACACAAAAGCGCAUGUGCUGUGAGCUCGAUGAGUAGGGCGGGACACGUGGUAUCCUGUCUGAAUAUGGGGGGACCAUCCUCCAAGGCUAAAUACUCCUGACUGACCGAUAGUGAACCAGUACCGUGAGGGAAAGGCGAAAAGAACCCCGGCGAGGGGAGUGAAAAAGAACCUGAAACCGUGUACGUACAAGCAGUGGGAGCACAGGUUUACCUGUGUGACUGCGUACCUUUUGUAUAAUGGGUCAGCGACUUAUAUUCUGUAGCAAGGUUAACCGAAUAGGGGAGCCGGAGGGAAACCGAGUCUUAAUUGGGCGUUAAGUUGCAGGGUAUAGACCCGAAACCCGGUGAUCUAGCCAUGGGCAGGUUGAAGGUUGGGUAACACUAACUGGAGGACCGAACCGACUAAUGUUGAAAAAUUAGCGGAUGACCUGUGGCUGGGGGUGAAAGGCCAAUCAAACCGGGAGAUAGCUGGUUCUCCCCGAAAGCUAUUUAGGUAGCGCCUCGUGAAUUCAUCUCCGGGGGUAGAGCACUGUUUCGGCUAGGGGGCCAUCCCGGCUUACCAACCCGAUGCAAACUGCGAAUACCGGAGAAUGUUAUCACGGGAGACACACGGCGGGUGCUAACGUCCGUCGUGAAGAGGGAAACAACCCAGACCGCCAGCUAAGGUCCCAAAGUCAUGGUUAAGUGGGAAACGAUGUGGGAAGGCCCAGACAGCCAGGAUGUUGGCUUAGAAGCAGCCAUCAUUUAAAGAAAGCGUAAUAGCUCACUGGUCGAGUCGGCCUGCGCGGAAGAUGUAACGGGGCUAAACCAUGCACCGAAGCUGCGGCAGCGANNNNNNNNNNNNNNNNNNNNNNNNNUGCUGGAGGUAUCAGAAGUGCGAAUGCUGACAUAAGUAACGAUAAAGCGGGUGAAAAGCCCGCUCGCCGGAAGACCAAGGGUUCCUGUCCAACGUUAAUCGGGGCAGGGUGAGUCGACCCCUAAGGCGAGGCCGAAAGGCGUAGUCGAUGGGAAACGGGUUAAUAUUCCCGUACUUGGUGUUACUGCGAAGGGGGGACGGAGAAGGCUAUGUUGGCCGGGCGACGGUUGUCCCGGUUUAAGCGUGUAGGUGUGUGUUCCAGGUAAAUCCGGUUCACUUUAACACUGAGGCGUGACGACGAGGCACUACGGUGCUGAAGCAACAAAUGCCCUGCUUCCAGGAAAAGCCUCUAAGCAUCAGGUAACAUCAAAUCGUACCCCAAACCGACACAGGUGGUCAGGUAGAGAAUACCAAGGCGCUUGAGAGAACUCGGGUGAAGGAACUAGGCAAAAUGGUGCCGUAACUUCGGGAGAAGGCACGCUGAUAUGUAGGUGAAGUGAUUUACCCGUGGAGCUGAAGUCAGUCGAAGAUACCAGCUGGCUGCAACUGUUUAUUAAAAACACAGCACUGUGCAAACACGAAAGUGGACGUAUACGGUGUGACGCCUGCCCGGUGCCGGAAGGUUAAUUGAUGGGGUCAGCGCAAGCGAAGCUCCUGAUCGAAGCCCCGGUAAACGGCGGCCGUAACUAUAACGGUCCUAAGGUAGCGAAAUUCCUUGUCGGGUAAGUUCCGACCUGCACGAAUGGCGUAAUGAUGGCCAGGCUGUCUCCACCCGAGACUCAGUGAAAUUGAACUCGCUGUGAAGAUGCAGUGUACCCGCGGCAAGACGGAAAGACCCCGUGAACCUUUACUAUAGCUUGACACUGAACAUUGAGCCUUGAUGUGUAGGAUAGGUGGGAGGCUUUGAAGUGUGGACGCCAGUCUGCAUGGAGCCGACCUUGAAAUACCACCCUUUAAUGUUUGAUGUUCUAACGUGGACCCGUUACCCGGGUUGCGGACAGUGUCUGGUGGGUAGUUUGACUGGGGCGGUCUCCUCCUAAAGAGUAACGGAGGAGCACGAAGGUUGGCUAAUCCUGGUCGGACAUCAGGAGGUUAGUGCAAUGGCAUAAGCCAGCUUGACUGCGAGCGUGACGGCGCGAGCAGGUGCGAAAGCAGGUCAUAGUGAUCCGGUGGUUCUGAAUGGAAGGGCCAUCGCUCAACGGAUAAAAGGUACUCCGGGGAUAACAGGCUGAUACCGCCCAAGAGUUCAUAUCGACGGCGGUGUUUGGCACCUCGAUGUCGGCUCAUCACAUCCUGGGGCUGAAGUAGGUCCCAAGGGUAUGGCUGUUCGCCAUUUAAAGUGGUACGCGAGCUGGGUUUAGAACGUCGUGAGACAGUUCGGUCCCUAUCUGCCGUGGGCGCUGGAGAACUGAGGGGGGCUGCUCCUAGUACGAGAGGACCGGAGUGGACGCAUCACUGGUGUUCGGGUUGUCAUGCCAAUGGCACUGCCCGGUAGCUAAAUGCGGAAGAGAUAAGUGCUGAAAGCAUCUAAGCACGAAACUUGCCCCGAGAUGAGUUCUCCCUGAGACUUUAGGUCUCCUGAAGGAACGUUGAAGACGACGACGUUGAUAGGCCGGGUGUGUAAGCGCAGCGAUGCGUUGAGCUAACCGGUACUAAUGAACCGUGAGGCUUAAC
rnacentral:rRNA from 1 species